GACGAACGCUGGCGGCGUGCUUAACACAUGCAAGUCGAACGGAAAGGCCCCUUUGGGGGUACUCGAGUGGCGAACGGGUGAGUAACACGUGAGUAACCUGCCCUUGACUUCGGGAUAACUUCAGGAAACUGGGGCUAAUACCGGAUAGGAAUCCUUGCUGCAUGGUGGGGGUUGAAAAGUUUCGGCGGUUUUGGAUGGCCUCGCGGCGUAUCGGCUUGUUGGGGGGGUAGUGGCUUACCAAGGCUUGGACGGGUAGCCGGCCUGAGAGGGCGACCGGCGACAUUGGGACUGAGAUACGGCCCAGACUCCUACGGGAGGCAGCAGUGGGGAAUAUUGCACAAUGGGCGGAAGCCUGAUGCAGCAACGCCGCGUGCGGGAUGACGGCCUUCGGGUUGAAAACCGCUUUCAGCAGGGGCGAAGCUUGUGGUGACGGUACCUGCAGAAGAAGCACCGGCUAACUACGUG
rnacentral:rRNA from 1 species